ACCAACAGUCAGUCGGACUUUUGAACUCGCACGGGACCGCUCAGCAAAUAUCCAGGACACCUAUAUUUACGUAUUUCUUUACAAACCGUCAGUUAAAUAAUUUUUUAUUAACAAUUUGAUGAAGGUGACUCCGAAUUCUGUGUCAGAUAUGAACUUGUGAAUAUUUUUAAAAAGAACUACUAGUUUUGACUAUUAAAAUAUCCAAAUAUCGAUUACCGAUUAUCGAAUUGUCAAUGAAACCAAUUAUCAGGACGUCACGAAGAUUCGCGUCAAUCGAAUUUUCCGUUAGUAAAGUUUACAAAGUGACUGUAUAACUAGUUCAAUACAAUAACAGUAUUCAAAUGAAGACAUUCAAAAUGCUGCUGUCGGCUGAAUCAACGUUCAUUAUCUUAGCUUUUAUUGUCAUCGUUGUAACAAACUUGGAGAAACGUUAAUCCGCUUCUUUCAAUGUUGAAGUUUCUGAAUCAUCGAGAUAUACACACACCGUAUACAUCAUUGUUAUGAUUUAGAUUCUCUCAAAUCUUGAUUCUUUGGAUCUCAGUUAUGACAUGAAAAACAAUAGUAGGCACCCCAUCUACUUGGAUCAGGCGUUCACGGGACUAUCAGAAGACUAUUUAUUAAAUUACGAUAAGAGGACAAAGACGUUCAAGCGUGUUUAAAAUAUAUGACAGAUUUAGCUGAAAUCAUCGAGGCUAAUGACGACGUUGAUGAAACAUAAAGGGCCGAGUAUCUGAAUUUCGAAAUUGAACUUACUAAGGUAGUUCUUCAAUCACUUUGCAACGAAGACAAUCGUUUUAAAUUAAUGACUCUGUAAAAUGUAAGAAUCGUUUAGAAUAACACAACUCGUAAUCGUU